UGAUAACACUUAAAUAAACAAGUUUUUAAAUCCCUAAAAGCCCAAAAAAAUCUGUGAAACCCCUAAAAACCCCAAAAGAAAAAACCACAAAAAAACUUAAACAAGCAUUUUUAAUGUCUCUAAAAACCAAUAAUAAAUCAGAAAACCCAAAAAACACAAAAAACCCUAAAACCCCCAAAAUCACAAAAAAACCCAAAACCCCAAAAAACCCCAAAAAUCAAAAUAAAAAACCCCAAAAAAACCCAAAACCGGGGAGGUUCUACCAGAACAGAGCCCAAAUUCCACCUCCAGGCUGCUGCAAUCAGGGAUUCUCAGGAAUUCGUGCUCAGAACCAGCCUGGAAGUAACAAGACCUAAACAAAAGAAAUAAAACGAAUGACAAUUAACGCGAUUAAUUAAUGAAUUUCCCGCUUGCAGCCUCGUUCCCCGGGGAUCAGCUGGACCUGGACUCCUUCAACACCAAAGUUUUCUUUGAGCUGCUGCUCAGGCACUCCCAGGCCGUCACCACCGCCCUGGGCCACUCCAAAGAAGAGGUGAAAGUUCUGUAUCUCAGGGUAAUGGAUGAAAUCUCCCUGCUGAAAAAGCUUUGGCUGAAGGCUCUGAGCAUCCCAGGAAAGGGAGAGGAGGAGAGAAAAGAGGAAAAAGAGGAAAAAGAGCAGGUGCCUUUCCCUGGGAGCCCCAGGAUUUAUGGCAGCCGUGAAAUCCCAAGUGAUCCAGGGGAGU